AGUAUUUUUGCGUGGAGAAUCCCAUGGACGGAGGCGCCUGGUGGGCUACAGUCCACGGGUCACAAAGAGUCAAACACGACUGAACGACUUCACUUCACUUUCAUGUUUCUUACACACAUGAAUGGCUUUGAUAAAAAUACCAAAAGAAAAGAUAAGGCCUGAAGAAAGAAAUGAGAGUUGCAAGGAAAGAUAUGAGUCACUCUGCAACUCGGUAGCUGGCCUUCAUUCGGCAAUGUCAUCAGAUCUCAGGCUCCUUCCUUCUGUCGGCCAGCCCUUAUUCUUGUUGAUUGACGAGCACAAGAUGGUUCCCAGAGCUCCUAAUAUCACAAGUACCUUUGAAGGCAGAAAACAAAGGAUAGGGUACCUUGGUGUUUAUUUAAACUAAGAGAAAAAGGGCACAUCUUCAUGCAAUACUUAUUUGGUUCUUUAAAUAACAAUUGUGACAAAUAGCAGAAAGAAUUAAGGAAUGCAGCAGUUGAUAGCUGUUCAAAACAUCAAUAUUUUGGGUUGUACAUAAAGACAUGUCUCAAACACUUUUUGAAAUACCAUAAUAGCCAAUACUAGAGGCAUGCCUUCAGUAGGCACGGGAAUGCAGUUUAGAAAAAAGAAAAAACAAAUCAUGCAAGACUACUGAAUUUCAUUAAAAUCACUGAGCAAGAAAAGCAACAUUGGGAACUUCCCUGGUGGUGCAGUGGUUAAGAAUCUGCCUGACAACGCAGGAGACAGGGGCUCAAUCCCUUGUGAGGAAGAUCCCACAUGCCUGGGAGCAGGUAAGCCCCUGCACCACAAUUUCUGAGCCUGUGUGCUGCAGCUACUGAAGCCCAUGAACCCAAGAGUCAAGCACCACAACUUCUGAAACCUGCUUGCUUAAAGCCCGUGCUCUGCCACAAGAGAAGCCUGUGCCCCACAACAAGAGUAGGCCCUGCUAGUCACAUCGAGAAAAAGCUGGCGCGCAGCAACGAAGACCCAGUGCAACCAAAACAAGAAAAGCGACAUUGAACUCCACAUACUAAUUUCACACAGCAUGUACACAGCACCUUGACUUCAAUUGAAGAGAAAAGCUAAGACGCGCCUCUAUUUUUGGUGAACAAUUGAAUGGUAAACUUAGAUGACUUUUCCCCCUGGAUUUUACCUGGGAGUGAACUUUAAAAUUUUUAAUCUGAAAGAAGGCAAGUGGGACACUUUUAUACUUAUAUCACCACCACUGAUACUUCUUGGAUUACAGGAAGAUUCGCAUUUUUACAGCUCAUACACAUACACCACAGGCUGGAAUUCCUGUUAUGCUAGUCUCAGAGUUAUUCAACUUAUUUUGUGCAUCAGUUUAUGUAAUAAUUUCAUUCCUAUUGAUCUCUAAUAUCAUUAUCCCAUCACCAUUUCUAUUCCUUCUCUAUAAGGAAAUUAAAUCCAGUUCACAGAUACUUUCAAAAACGUGUGUCUCAAGUUUCCAAAAUAUCUGAAUUAUAUCUAAAAUGCCAAGUCUCUCUGAUGAUUUGCUGUUGUGUCUUCACUGUCCGGCUGGUAGAACUUGGAGAGUUCGCAUGUGUAUGAUCAGGUCACCUGAGAUGGCUGUUCUCUUCUCUCUAUACAUUAUCAUCUGUCAGUCGGUGCCUGCUUCACCUACACUCUACUUGCAACCGACUGUUCUACAUACUUGUCCUGGCCGCAGCCAGUGACUUCUUACGUUGAGAUCAGAACAUCUCUACCUUGAUAGCUUAACAAAGGGGCAGUGAGGGGCAUGCCUCUUUGCUAGUUUCCCUGGUAACCAAUGAGCCAACCCAAAGUCAGUUUCCCCUGUAACUGCUUACUUCCCUUUUCCCCCUGGAAUGAAGAGUACUGCCAGGCAGCCUUUCUCUGCUCCAAACUCCGACAUCUUGGUCUGUU
ensembl:lncRNA